UAGCAUCAUAGUGCUUUCCUCUGUGUGAUUGGCUUUAGAAGGGCAUGUAGCUACCAUCUGGAGAGAGA
rnacentral:lncRNA from 1 species